UACGGGGGGGGCAAGCGUUGUUCGGAAUUACUGGGCGUAAAGGGCUCGUAGGCGGCCAACUAAGUCAGACGUGAAAUCCCUCGGCUUAACCGGGGAACUGCAUCUGAUACUGGAUGGCUUGAGAUUGGGAGAGGGAUGCGGAAUUCCAGGUGUAGCGGUGAGAUGCGUAGAUAUCUGGAGGAACACCGGUGGCGAAGGCGGCAUCCUGGACCAACACUGACGCUGAGGAGCGAAAGCGUGGGGAGCAAACAGG
rnacentral:rRNA from 1 species